AGGAUUUGUCUUAUCGCAUGCCGAUUAUAAAGUCGGCAUGAGGAAAGUCCGGGCAGCACAGAGUAUCAUGCUUCCUAACGGGAAGGCACUUUUCGGGGUGACAGACAGUGCAACAGAAAGUAGACCGUCACGCUUUGGCGUGAUAAGGGUGAAAGGGUGAGGUAAGAGCUCACCGCGGGAUUGGUGACAAUGCCGGCUAGGUAAACCUCAUGAGCUGAAAGACCAUGUAAAUCCAGAUUCCGAAAGGAGGAGAGUUACUCGCUCAACUUUUUAGUCUGGAAGGGUAGGUCGAUUGAUCUUGCUGGUGACAGCAAGGCUAGAUAAAUGAUAAGGCACGACAGAACCCGGCUUAUAGAAUCCUAACG
rnacentral:RNase_P_RNA from 1 species